rnacentral:tRNA from 1 species
CCUUCGAUAGCUCAGUUGGUAGAGCGGUGGACUGUAGUUGGCAGUACGUUGUACAAUAGAAAUCCAUAGGUCGCUGGUUCAAAUCCGGCUCGAAGGA